UAACCUGCCCAAGAGAUCGGGAUAACACCUGGAAACAGAUGCUAAUACCGGAUAACAACAGAUGAUGCCUAUCAACUGUUUAAAAGAUGGUUCUGCUAUCACUCUUGGAUGGACCUGCGGUGCAUUAGCUAGUUGGUAGGGUAACGGCCUACCAAGGCUAUGAUGCAUAGCCGAGUUGAGAGACUGAUCGGCCACAUUGGGACUGAGACACGGCCCAAACUCCUACGGGAGGCAGCAGAA
rnacentral:rRNA from 1 species